rnacentral:lncRNA from 1 species
CCCCAACCUCCCUUGCCCACCACCACACACCCAUCAAGUGAUACAACAGGAAUAUUUACAUUUCCCUGGUUUUCCCAGUCAGAUAAUCACACUCCUUUGUCCUGACUGAGGACCCAAUCCAUUCCUGGAUGGUUUGCCAUUGUCCAUGGGAUGACUGCCUGUCUGGCACCCAUUUGCCAGGAUGCCAGUGAUUAUCUCUUGUGCAAGAGGCUGCUGUGUACGCGAUCCCAGCUUUCAUGGAUUAUGGCUGCCCACAUCCCAGACACUCCCCCCACCCCCUGUAGCCAUUCCUUUCCUGAAUAGAACAAAGUUGGUGGAAAUCCAUACUGGAGCGAUUUUAUAUGACUUUCUAAAGUUUUCCCAGUGAGCCAGUACAGUGGUACCUCGGGUUACAAACAUUCCAAGUUACGUUUUUUCGGGUUACGAACGAUUUUAACCUGGAACUAAGUUGUCUGAGCUCUCAGAGGCCUCGCCGCUGCCUGAAGCCAAGCCCCGACAUCCGCAGGAUGCCCAGCAGGUUGCAUCCCAGCCCCAAAGUUAGGUAAGGAACACUUACCUAGAGAAGACAAAGAGCAGUGAAGCUGUUAAGAAACAAAGGUGAGCCUGGGCCGAAAAGCCCUUGACCAACCCUUGCCCCACCCCCCAGCUGUAGCAAGAUGGGUGGCACCUAGCCAGGUAAGCCCACCUACCCUGGGGGGGGGGAGUGUAAAAUUUUGGGAUUCUGUGAGGUAUUUUGGGAUUUGUUUAUGUGAGUCUGCCCUGUGCCUUUGUCUCUGCUUUGCUCCUUCGUUUGGGGGACUUCUGGGGGACUCUGCCUUCUGCCAUUGUUUUGGGGAUCGUGUGGGGUUUGGGGUUCAGCUACUGGUUGACUGUGUGACUGCAGAAAUGGCUAAAAGCCCCCCCCAUCCAAGCAAUCAUCAGUACAGGUAAGAAAAAAAUUAAAGUUAAUUUUUUCAUCUAUAAUACUGUCUUACUUAUUUUAUUGUACAGUACAUUAUUAUUGCCUUCAGUUUAUGGAUCAAUGGUCUUGUUAGACAGUAAAAUUCAUGUUAAAUUGCUGUUUUAGGGGGUGUUUUUCAUCGUCUGGAACGGAUCAAUCCACUUUUCCAUUACUUUCAGUGGGAAAGUGCACUUCAGGUUCAGAACGCACUUCCGGAACCAAUUAAGUACUUAACCUGAGGUACCACUGUACAUAUCAGUGAAUUGUUGCAUGUGGUAAUGUGCAUCAGAGGCCCUUUGAACAGAGAUAGGAAAAAACUGUGAUGAAGUGUUUUGUGGGGACAUUUGCAGGAGUGAUUGUGUUGAGUUUGGUAGUCGGGGUGUGUGUAUAUGAUGUCUGCUGGAGGUCCAACCCCCCCACACCUUUACAUAAAUUCCUGUAACAAUGCAAUCGCCACAACAACCGUGUGAGGUAGUUUAGGCUGAGAGGCAGUGACUGGCCCAGAGUCACCCAAUGAGCUUCAGGACCAAGUGAGGAUUUGAACCUUGGUCUCCCAGAUCUUAGUCCAACAUGCCAACCACACUGCCAUUCCAGCUGGUAGCCAUCACUGCCUCCUGUGAGAGCGAAGGCCAUAAUUUAAACUAUGUGCUGCUUGAUGAAGUACUUUCUUUUAUUAAUCCUGAAUCUUCCAACAUUCAGCUUCAUUUGAGUAUCCACAAGUUCUAGUGUUGUGACAGAGGGAGAAAAACUUGUCUCUCUCCACUGUCUCCAUGCCAUGCAUCAUCUCAUAAACUUCUAUCAUGUCACCUCUUUAUCACAUUUUUUCCUAACCAAAAAUCCGCAAAUGCCGCAGCCUGCCCUCAUUGGGUAGUUGUCCAGUUCGUUGACGCUGCUCUCCAUGAUGCAACUGAUGAAGAGCAAUGCCCAGUGGCUGAGUGUGGGCUACGGGCCCAGGUUCAAACUCCAGUUAGAAGCCUCUUCCUUUAAGGCCGCUCAAGAAUUUUUGGCAAGGUGCAGAAUUGGAGUUGGGCUCAGGGGACUCGUGGUCUGAAUCUAUAUGAGACUGGUUCAGAUGCAUUCAUAUGGUCAAGACUAAGGAAGAUGCUAGGGCUGUUCAGGAGUCAAAUCCAAAAGAGUAUGCCAGUCAGAAGCAAUUUGUUAAAAGGAGCAAAAACAAACAAAAAAUGAGCAAGAGGUCCAGUACAAACAGGAUGAGGGGAAGAAACUCUGAAGAAAGGUUCCACAAGCAGGAGAGAGAGUAAGUCCUGAUGUCUCCUGCUCUUGCUCAAGUACUUAAGAGUUUUCUAAAUGGAAGAGUGUCAGCUUCUUUUCCACUCUGGAUUUCUUUCUCAUUCAUCUCAGAAUCAAGCCGGGAGCACUAUAUGUACAUGGGGCUGUGAUCCCCUUGAGAGCAUUAUUUGGGGGCAGUGGCUGCCAAGAGUUGGACUCCAAGCUCCCAUCAGCCUCAGCCAGUUUAGCCAAUGGUCAGGGAUUGUGGGGUUGUACUCCAAGAACAUCUGGAGUGCACUGUGCUGGCUACCCAUUUUGUAAACGUUGACUGAACCUGGCAACCUUACUGCAUGUCCACAGGCAAACAAGAAACAUUGGGUGCUAGACAUUUCUUGUGCAAUUUAAUCCUUUUGUGUUUAAAUAACUAGUACAGUAACAAGAUGACCUUGGCUUUCAGCCUAGUGUUUCUUAGAUACAGUGGCUGAAAAUGACUUUCCUAUACUGUAGUUAAGGCCUGUAAAUAAAAGCUAAAGCUAAGCAGCCGUUUCUCAAAUAAGGGAGAUGUCUAAAGCUUGCUUUGGAUUUAUUAUUUAGGCCCUCAUGAUUUUGUUGUGAGCAUUAACUUUUAAACAGAAUUAAUGAUCAGCCCCCAAAUUCAUUGUUCAUCUCAUUACCUUCCGUUCUGCAGUAGCCACCUGCAAGCAAAACUCCAGUCAGGGAAUGGCUCUUUCUGCUGAGAGAUGGAUGUGGAGAAAAUAACACUACAGUGGAACCUCGGUUUAUGAACUUAAUCCGUUCCAGAGGUCCGUUCUUAAACCAAAACCAUUCUUAAACCAAGGUGCACUUUCCCUAAUGAAGCCUCCCACUGUCGGUGCCCAUCCACCAUUCGGAUUCCGUUCUUAGACUGAGGUAAAGUUCUCAAACCAGAACACUAUUUCCAGUUUUGCAGAGUUUGUAAACUGAAUUGUUCAUAAACUGGACUGUUCUUAAACUGAGGUACCACUGUAAAUGCAACUAUGGGAACAAGAAGCUACUGCGUCAGGAAAAGAAGAAGUACCCAACUGUUCAUAGAAAGGAAGAGGCUAGAAUGGGGAUAGCACUGGGGAAAACCUAGAGUGACACCAGACAUCUGACUGAAUGUAAGCAUACAAUACUGCACAGUAGCUGAAGAAAUCCACUGCUGUGAAACUAGGUUUUGUCUCAACAGAGACCAUGUCUCAUAAGAGGGAAGGUCCCAGCCUCAGACUGCCUUAUUAUAUAAAGCCUGAGCAAGCUGAUAUGGAGAAAAGAGAAGAGCUGUGGUUCAGUCUGAUGCAUGUGAAGAAGCUGAGCAGGAGCAAUUGCAGUACUGGGAGGUGGUGGCCCAGGGAAAUAGAUGAAGGACCAGCAAAUCCUGAUCUGCAAAAGAAUUGGUGGGGUUGUCGUCUUUUCUGCUGGUCCUGCUCCUUUGCCUUUAAUAACAAUCAGAAAAUUGGCUGAGGAUUCUCUUUUUCACCACAUUGCUAUGCUGCUAAUUUCCUGCAAGUCAGGCUGAUCUUAGUUACAGGAGUAAGACCUGAAUAAAAUUAGCAGCAGCAGCAGCAGUAGUGGAAAUUUCCCCACCCAGCAUCUAAUUUCCUGUGGAGGGAAAUGAGAUGGAGGGAACAUAGGAAGCUUCCUUAUACUGGGGCUUGACCCUUGCGCCAUCUAGCUCAGCAUUGUCCACACUGACUGGCAGGGUUUCAGGCAGGGGAAAUCCCCAGUCUGACCUGGAGAUGCCAUUGGGGAUUGAACCCGGGACCUUCUGUGUGUAAACCAGAUGCUCUUCCACUUAGCAAUGGCCCUUUCCAGGGAAGAACCUGUUUGCAAAGUGUGCAGGGCUGCCACCUCUUCACUGGGCCCAUUUCUCUGCCCUGGUGAAUGGCACACAAAAAUUUUACCAGGGGAACAUUCUCCAAGAGAUAACCACGUUGUGAGUGGGGUGGGGUGGGGGAGUGUUAGCUGGCAUGAUACCUGAGUCCCUUUUACUUCCAGGGUCCUGGAUCCAGCAAGGGUUGAAAUCUAAUGGAGGAUUCCAUUGUUGAACUAGUCAGGCCAGUUUCUUUGUCAGAGAAUGGCUCUGUGCCAGAGGCCUUUGCCCCUCACCUGGCUGGCAGUUCAAAGACAAAAGCGAGGGCAGUUGUGUGAGAGCGGGGCCAGCAGCAGGCAGAAGCUGAGAGAUUUGCUUGAUUAUCUGCUAGAAUCCAAGGCUGUAACUAUGGAAAAAGCUAGACCUUUUGCGGUCUUAAGGCUGUGAGCUCCUCCAUCUUAGGCUCGGGUUGUAUUGAAACUACUGCCUCCUGCGUUGUUUUUGCUGUGUUAGCAGCACUGAAUAGAUCUCCCCAGGGUGCAAGCCUGGGCUGCCCAAACCACAAGACCUUGCUGAUGUGGUCCAAAGGGAAACAGAGCAAUACAUUUGGCACUGGCUGGGCUGCAGGAGUUGCUGGAAGGAGGCCUACAAGAUGCUACCCAGCCGUCUUAACGACUCCACUCCAGAUUUGUGUCACUUUACUCCCGAGCCUUUUCUUCUCCCAAAGAUGUCCCACAAGGCAGCGAGUAUAGUUUUCUCCUUAGGGUUUACUCCUGUAGCUUUUCUUAUGAAUGUGUGUAGCCACAAGGCAGUGGAGGUUUAGGAUGUAUAUACAGUGGCAGGGCCGUCUUAAGUAUAUCCGGUGCCGUGAUGCAAAGAUCCCUCUGGCGGGGGCCCCCCCAAUUUCCUUUUUACAGCGCUGCCAGCAGCUUUGCGGGGCUGAAGGAGGCGGGCAGCAGCUAGAGGGCAGCUCCUCCAGUGGGGAAGAGGCGGAGGCUCCGAGCGCGGCGCUGCUUCAGUGAGGCGGGUGAGAGCAGCGAGCUGGUGUCUGGAGGUGCCAUGCCCAGCCUCUGCCUCUUCCCUGGCGCCUGUGCUGCGGUGGCCACAGCAGGCAGAGACUCCGGGUGCGGUGCUGCUUCAGCAGAGGCAGGCAAGGGCAGCGAGCUCAUGCCAGGAGGCACCGCAUCCAGCCUCUGCCUCUUCCAUGGCACCCUCCAGAAUGGUGCCCUGGCGCCCUGCGCCACUUGCCUCUAUGGGCAAGACACCCCUGUACAGUAGUACCUUGGGUUAAGAACUUAAUUCUUUCUGUAGUUCCGUUCUUAACCUGAAGCACCACUUUAGCUAAUUGGGCCUCCUGCUGCUGCCGCGCCACCAGAGCCCGAUUUCUGUUCUCAUCCUGAAGCAAAGUUCUUAACCCAAGGUACAAUUUCUGGGUUAGCAGAGUCUGUAACCUGAAGCGUAUGUAACCCGAGGUACCACUGUAUGUGUAAAUAAACCAUAUAUCACGAAACACCAAAGUCUCCACUGCCCAUGGGUUCGGUUCGCCUGGAACUCAGAGAUGGAGCGGGGAGUGUGACAAUAAUAAUUCCACCUGCAUAAGUGAUAGUAAGAGCUCCACCUAUGUCAAGCUGCUGUGAAAGUUACAAGAGUAAAAACUAAAAAGUGCCACUUUAGUCCUUUGUUGCAUGUACAACCUCAUCUUGCCUUGGUGCCAUUUUGCUUCUAGUAGAGUGAACAGAGAAUCAGAAAUAGCAUCAGAUGGGGAGAUACAAGUGAAGACAUCACUCUGUGCCAGCAGACCCUGCUGCUGUUCAGAUAUGGCACAGCAAGCAGAGUCAGCAUCAGAACCUGGCAUCUCUGGGCAGCUGCCAGGGAGAAAAGUGGACGUGCCACUGCUGCUGUUCUUGGGAUCUUUGUGCUAGACAUCCGGAUCAAAUAGCGGCCCACUAUUAUAAUUACCCACAAUGCCAGUGCACUGGCAAGUUUGACCAAGCUGCGGGAGGCGGUGGAAGACAGGAGUGCAUGGUGUGCUCUGGUCCAUGGGGUCACGAAGAGUCGGACACGACUCAACAACCAAACAACAAUUAUAAUUACCCACAAUGCCAGUGCUCUAGAGUGAUGCUCUGUCAUGGGCAUUGUGGGUAAUUUUGAGUGUGGGUGGCUCACAACCAUCUAGCAGAGACUGUGUUACUGCUGCUGCCUCUACUGCCAUCUGCCAUCAGAUAGAGGAGCCCAGUCUCCCACCAGCUCUGCAGCUUGCCCUGAACCUCAGCUGCCAGUGACACCUUGAUUUCCAUGAGGCUGCUGCAGGAGCACAAAAUUUCAUUGUUUCUAUCACAGUUAUAAUUUUACAUAGGUCCCAAAGCAUUAGAGAAGUCUAAUAUGUUUUCUAACACUACAGCUCAUGCUAAAGAAUUCCUUACUACCUGUGCCAUUCUUGUUGAAAGCUUAAUCUUGACCUUAAGAAACUGUGCUGAAUUUAUGGGAGUUAUAUUCUUGCUGAAUUGUUUCCUAAAUACAUUCUUGUGUCAGUAAAGACAAAGAGCUUUGUCUGUGGAUUAUGUUUAAAUCCUGCUGUAAUAUGUCAGUCAGAUCUCGCAGGAAAUGAGAUUGAGUAAUGAAAAAAGUGCACAGAGCUUCUGUUAAUCCAAAAUGUAAAAAAGAAGGGCAUUAGUAACGUUUAAAAACGUUUUCCAUCCCAAUUCCCAUUGACUCAAAAUAUGUUAAAAAUUUGGUAAUGAAACUGGAGCUGUACAACAUCUACAUAUAUAAUCACCUUUCUUUAUCAAAGUAGUGUAGGAAACAGUCGUGGAUUGUGGAUUUAAUUGCUUGUUUUCAAAGCUUUCCUUGUAAACCAAGGAAGCACUUUGUUCUUCCUUUUCCAGAAGAGAAAACUGGUACAGCAUAGAAAGAGCACUCAGAGGUUAGGUAUUCUGCAAACUCACCUAGCCCAGGAGAAGAAGAAACUGGGGUUUCCAAACAGGGUUUCUGAUGGGAAGAGAAGCAGGAUGAGGCCCACCAUAUUUCCUUCCCUCCCAGGCAGCUGAUAGGUGAUGAUUUUGGCUUUUUAUAAAUAGUAAAUGAGUAUAACCUCAGUUUUAUUGUUCAUGUUGAAGCUUGGAUGUGGAGCUAUUGCAUCUAAUGAUCUAAAUGUGGGGCAUUUGGAAUAGGCUAACAUUUUAGAACAGAACAAGCUGGGUACAUCACCUGGUGGGGAAUUUGUGUCUUUUUAGUGUGGGAUUUUUAGGCACAAGGCACUUUCAGAGUGCCCAAGAAAAUAUUAUUUAUGCUUGCAGAAUGCAGGCUUCAUUUACUAACAUUUCAUUGACUAACGGAGAUGGGGAAAGAAUGGAAUGGCAAAGCGGACUGCAUGCUGAUAUUAACAUAAAAUGGUAGUGCAUGAUGCUGAAAGCAGGAAGUAAGGAUUAAUGAGCAUAUAGAGCACUCUAAAGGUACAACUUAGUGUUACAGGGCAACUAGGUAUCCAUGACUCCAUGAGAACACUAAUGCCGAGCGGGGGAUGGCAGGGGAAAGGAUGCUUGACAAAUUACAUCUUUGUGAAUUCUAAUAUAAACCGACCUUCUCUGUACCUCUAUUAGGGUUACCAUCUGCCCAGUUUUCCCCAGACAUGUCCAGGAUUCCAAGGGCGAAAUCACUAUCCGGGUGGAAUUGUUUUUAAAAAACCUCCCAAAUGUCUGGGUUUUUGCAAACAGAAUCAGAAGAGUGUGUGCAAGUAUCACUCUUUACUUUUCCCUAUCUCUAUGGACCUGCCUGUUCUCUGUAUAACAAAGACUUGCUUUGUAAGCAGAACCAGGCAGUGUGCAUACGAGGAUCAGUCUUCUUUAAAGAAAUUAUUUUUGCAUUUUCAAUUUACAAUAUACAAACAGAAUUUAAAAAUAAAUAAACGUAAAAUCCCCCUUGACUUCCCUCCCCCCCUUUGUGGAUCUUCAUACAAUGUAUUCUCGUCUCUAUGGGGCGCCUGCAUUGUGCAUGCUGGGAUGGGUCAGAUCCAGCAGAUCUCAUGCAAUAAUAAUAUUUAAGGAAGGUAUAUGCUCAAGACAUCCUCAGGGCAGAUGCAGCUUGGGACGAACAGCCAACUUUUAUGUUCACACUGGUACUAAAUGGGUGAGAACAAGUGACAACAAGAGUAUAUGGGCCAAGCAACAUGGUGCAUGGAGCAAGUUUCUUCUAAAAGCAGCUGUGGGGGUGGGGUAAUUUGGAUCAGGGCCAUGGAAAGGUUGAAUCAUCUCCUGGACUUGCUAUUUGUCCCUUUGGAGAAAAUGUAUGAGCCACAAGCCCUUUUAGGUCUUCAAUUUUUAAAAAAAUGUGUCAGUUUUUGAGCCCAUUUAUACAACUACAAAAGCUAGAUGCUCUGCUUUCUAAAAAGAGGCUUAUUUUCUAAGUUCUGGCAAGUUGCACCCAGCGGAGCCAUUUCAAAUCUCAGUCAAUUUCAGGGAGGCAGCUGGAGCCCGGUUACCAGGGAAGCUGCCUACACAGCAGAUGGGAAGUCUCAGGAGGCCAAACAGGCCGGGCAGCACAGCUGAGAAUGGCAAAGCCCAGCUUCUCUCGGCUUUAUCAACGUGUAAAUAAUAAAGACAAUUGCCUUGCUGCAAUACAUUCGGUUUGUUCACUCCAUCAUCAAGGAGCAAGGCUGAAAAGACAGUUUUGCAUGCUGCUUUCUGAGCAGUUGAGCCACUUACGGCUUGGCUACGCAACAGGUGAACUGCUCUUCAGAGCACUCUGAAACGUAUCUCUAUCUAGGUUAGAUGGAUCAUUCUUCGUUAUUUUUUUUUAAGUGUUAGUCACUUUAUCUGCCCCAAGGCACCCCAAAGUGACUUACAACCAACCAACCAAAACCCCACAUAGAUACAGUACUUUAAAACCAAGGGGGGGGGGGAGCAGAGUGGCCUGGAGAGAAAUGCAUUAAAACCAUCCCACCCCCUUCUGAAGGCCAGAGAGAAUUAAGGCCCCAAGGCCUGGCUGGAGAGCAAAAAGAGAGGCUGCCCGAGAGAGAAAGACAGGACAGGUCUCUUAAGGCCCCGCUGUCCCCCAGAAGGAAGGAGCUGGGCAAGAGGGCUGGAAAACAGGUGUCGAUAGCUGAUUAUUCGGAUCCAAUACCCCCCGCUCGCCCAAAAGCCCCAGACAGGCGUUUCCAAAGGCUCUUCCCUCUUCUCCUUCGGGCAGCAAGGGAGACCCCGCCCCGCAGGCACAGGCAGCCCCUUCCUCCCUCCCUCCGGGAGCCGCGGCAGCGCCUCCUUGCUGCGCCCUUGGGGAGGCCGGGCGGGCGGGAGCAGGAGGGGGCGGGCAAGGGGGCGCCGCAGCCUGGGCACCCCGAAGCAGGGCGGCAGCCCCCUCAGACCCACCGGGACCCUCAAGUCGCGCUCGGCCCCGCGCGCCCUCGGGGCAGGGGAGCAGCAUCCGCGGAAGGAGCCCGCGGGGCUGGAGCUGCGCGCGAAGCCGGGGAAAGAUCCAGCCCGGUGCCGAGUUCCCCUGGCUGAGCCGGAGCUGGGGUGGGAGGAAGGAAGGAAGGAGCACCGAGGCGGGGCAGGAGAGGAGCACAAAACCCCGGACAUUUUGCUAAAUUUUGAAAAUCCACCUGGAUAGACAUUUUGCCCAGUGCUUUUUUUCUUAAAAAAUGUUUAGGGGUACUCACAUUUCCCUACUCAUAUUGAAGUACUGCCCCUCAAAGAGGCCAAAUAUAGAUUCACAAAAUGUUUAGGGGUAUAAGUACCCCUGCAUUCCCCCAGAAAAAUGGACUGAUUUUGACCAUAAGAGAGUACGUGUCCAGGAAAAACUGGACAUAUUGCAACCCUAAAGAUAUAUAGUGAAGGCAGCAAGUGAGCCUCCCUGGGGAGAGCAUUCCACCAGCAGGGAGCCACCACAAAAAAGGCCCGAUCUCAUGUGGCCCCCCCUCCAGGCACACACAGAAGGGCCUCCGCCGACCACCACAGGGUCAGGUUGGUGCAUAUGGGGAGAGGCAGCCCUGGAGGUAUUGCAGUCCUGAGCCAUUGUCACAGUUGGCACAAUGCAACACAGUAGCCAGAGUCUUAAUUCCCCAAACAGCAGCUUUUUCUCUCCUUUUUGUAAAUCUUAAUAUUGAUGUAUUGAUUAACAAAAAACAUUUUCACCCUGCUUUUCUUUGAAAUGAUUUCAAGGCAGCUGACAAGAAUCAAGUAAAACAAUCAAAUAAGAACAAAAAAGAAAACCUGUAAGAAUUAAAAAGUUCCAGAUGUUAAAGCAGUCAUCAAGAGGCACCCCCCCAAAAAAUUUAAAAGUAGGAAAAUAGCUGCAUCCAACAUUAGAAGACCUCUGAGUGUUCCAAGCAGAAGGUAGUUGGGAUUCAUACAACCCAGCUGCCAACAGAAGAAGGUCCUUACAAGGCCAUUCAACUGGACACAGCUAUUGGAAAGGCCUUCUCCUCCGUCGAGAUUCAGGGGUUGCUGGGACACGCAAGAGCGCUUCUGUCGGAGUUAUUAAUAGGCAGGCAGCCUCUUACAGGGAAAGGAGCGUCUCAAGAUGUCUUCGUUCCAAACCUCAGUGGCUUUUAUGACUGAGAGAAGGGCAACAGUAAUUGUAUACCUGCCUAAUCUUGCUCUGAUUUCUUACCAAGGAGAGCAGAUAUGAGGUAGUAUGUUGCCAUUUCCUUUGAUGAAAAAGUAUUCGACUUUAGUAGAACAGAGUUUUGUAUUGUAUUUAUUUGUAUGCUGUCCUACAGCCACAGGUCUCAGGGCAGUUAUAACAUAAAAUCACAAUAUAAAAGCACAAAAUACAUAAUAAAAGCAAUAAUGACCUGAUCCGCCCCCCCCCACAUAUUAAAAGGGCACUGAAUGUCAAUCAGCCAAAGGCCUGGUUAAAGAGGAACAUUUUUGUCUGGCGCAUAAACUGUGCAAGCUGACCCUCCCUGGAGAGUGCAUUCCACAAACGGGGAGCCAUUGCAGAAAAGGCCCAUUACCUGCAGAGUUGGAUGGCAACCCAAAGCAGAUCAGGCUGUGUAGGUUUUGGGUGCCCUGCUCUAAAAAUAAACAAUUCAGAAAGGCAAAUAGAUCCGCUUGAUACAUUCAAAGCAUCAUCCAUGUGCAUUUAAAGCGGAUGACUUUCCCUCAAGAAUCCUGGAAACUGCAGCUUCCGCCUCACAGAGCUACCAUUUCCAGCAUCCUUUUAAAAAACCUACAGUAGCAGAGAAGGAAUAUGUUUUGCCUGUCCAGGAGGCUUACAGCAACAGCAAGAGCCAAUAACUGGAAGAAAAUCCUCAAUAAUGGAUGAAGAGCUUGUCAGGAUGUGAAGCUGGUGAUGAUACAGUUCAUGAUUGAGAAAGCAAAACAAGCAACAGCUGCAGCCUGGAUGUAGGAGCCACUGAUAGAUUUCUUCAGCACCUGCACGGCUGUGGAUGAAGAAGGGCAGGAGGCAGAAAAGCUAUAAGGCUAUGUGCCAGAAGAGCAGCCAGAAGAACAGGAUGAGGCCAAAUCCUUGACUGGUUUUGCCCCAUGGUUGCUUAUUAGGCAAAAUCAAACCACUAUCUUAGUUUUUCUAUUUUAUUUCUGGCAUUCAUGUACCACCUUGUGGGUGGUUCACAGAUUCCUCUAUAGGCCACGUAUCCUAGAGGCAAGACCCUGCUGAGCAGGGAUUCUUCAGACCUGGAAUGGUCGGAGGCUCCACCACUGUAGGGGAAUUACCCAUUUAGGGGACCAUACCACAGAAAUAAGAAUCAUUCACAUUAUUUUCUUAAGGCCUGAAAACAUAGUCAAAAUUAUUAAGCCACCCGAAUGCACACUGACAUCCUAGUCUUGUAUAUAUGCAAGGCGUUAUUGUACACGAUAAAUUAUUUAACCCAUCUGCAGUCUGAGCAGUUUUGACCACUUCAUGGGCUAUUUAUGUGAGUGGGAAGCAGGCAUGUUAAAAAGCUUGUUUCUGUUACUGCAUGCUUACUUUUACGUUUCUAUUACAGUAACAUAAAUCUACAGGAAUACCUGGGAAUUAAUGUGAUUCUAUCCCACUCCAUCCCGUAGGCUCAAGAGAGGCUUACAAGCUGUUUUUCUAAAUGUUAAUAGAGCUGUCUCCAGGGGGUUCACAGUUUAAGAAAACAUGUUUUUUUCUGGCAUAAAAGAGGCUAAAUUAAAUAAAAAAUGAGAUUGUGAACACAUAUUAUUUUUUUAAAAAACCCCAAACCCAAACAACACCCAAACCAAACUGUAGCCAACCUACCUAAAAAGCUACCUGAAGCACAAUGUUGUUUGCAGGCAGGCAGGCAGGCAAAAGCCUAGUUGUUGUUGCCGCUCCAUUCCAGGCGUAGUCCUGAUGGUGUCCCUUGAGGUCCUGCCAGGAAGCAGGCAGAUCUUCAUCCUUAGCCUCUAGAAUGUCCCACCACCAACUAUGAAUUUCCUAGAGUGUGUGAGCCAUCAGGGAAUUCAUCCCCUGUUGCUCAUUACAGGUCCCAGUAUCCAAUAUUUUAAAUUCACAAAAAGUGAUGGGGAGGGGGGAAAGGAAGAUAACAAAUAAAGCCCACAAUCAGAAGAAUCAUGUGGUGCAGCUUUUGCUGGGGGGUUGCAUUUCAGACUGAAGGUGUGGGAAUACGUAUUUGUUUGAAUGUAUCUGUAGAUAGAUACACACCUACCCACCCUGCCCAUUCAAAGCUAGGCUAUUAGAAUGGUUCUGUGCUUAGCCUUUUGUCUGCCACAUUGUUUUUUAUGUGCAGGCAUACAAACUCUCCACCUGGAAUCUGCAUUGUCUGGGUAGGGGAGUGAGGUUCUGUUCCACCUGAGUAGAUUUCAGAGUCAAGGGAAGGAUUUUGGAUUAGAAGAUCAGUGCUAAACGAGAAAGCUAUACAUUCACCAACAGUUGCCCAAUGGAUGAUCUGGUUUGGUGGUCUGAGGACCUUUUAUGUACAGUAGAAGAAAUUACUUGCUCUUCUGGUUUUUGUACGUGACAUGGAUAAAUGGAUGGCAACUUUAGCAAACCAAAAGCACAUGAUAUGUGUAUUUGUUACAAAUCUGGACUUCACUUGGAAAAACUCUUGGAUUCCUUCCUUCUUUUCUGUGGAAUAUGAUCCCCCAAAAUCCUUAUCCACACAAUUUCUUCUCCCCUCUCUUUCCCUUCUCUCAGUUGUUUGGUGUUAUUUCCCCCCUCCUCUUUCUUUCAUGGUGUUCAUGUUUUAAAAUACACUCAGUCUGCAUCUUUGUAGAGUUAUAAAAUGUUGAAUAAGCCACUUAAAAGAGAAAGAUGACAAAGGACCAUUAGCAGAACAUAAGAAGUGCUUUUUGCUAUAUCAGACUAAGCUCCACUGAACCUAGCAUUCAUCUUUCGACAGCAUGUUCCCCUGGGAAGUUCAGAAGCAGAGCAUAAAAAUGGUGCCUUUCCCCUCUUGCUUGCCCCCCCCCCCCGCUCCAUGGUACUCACACUGCGUCUAAGCAUGGAUGAGCCAUGUAACUAUUUUUUUCUCUGGCUGCACACCAUGAUGCAAUUGUUUGGUGGCAAUUCUAGAUGUGAAAUUCAGGAUGGGCAAAAUCAUUAUUCCAUUUCAUUUCUAUACCACUUUAUAUUUUUAAGAAAAGAACCUCCAAACGGUUUGCAUGAAAACAUGAAAACAUCAAAUAAAACAACCCAAAAUAAAGCAUUGCAGAAGAAAAUCAAAUAUAAAGUAUAUAUUCAAAGCCACAUAACUAACAGAAAACUAAAAUACUAUCUUAAUGAUUUCAAAAUAAGACAUAACAAAGGAGGUUCAUGGUGGGCAGUGGCUGUGGAAGAUGGGGCUCGAUGAGACCUGGUGUCAGGCAGAGAAGCAGAGGGACUUCAAGAUGACGCUAAUGUUGUAACUGUCAUGUUGCUUCCACAGAUACAGCUCCUACUUCAACAAUUCUCCACAUUUCCCCUCCUCAACCUUAGGACAUCUGCUUAUGGUUUAGGCUUCUUGGCAUAUAUGUGCAGAUUUGUACAUCACCUGGGUGUACAAGAGGAAACUCAACUAAGUUUCAUUCAGAGUAGUCCUACUGAAAUUAAUAGACCUUAGCCAUGUUUUGUCAUUUCAAUGGGUAAAACUGCCAGCCCCAUGGGAUGUCACAACCUGUCAGAGACAUGGGAAGAGACAGACUCGGGAGAUGAGGAAUUACAGUCACCUCCAGAGUUUCCAGCAGCAGAUAGAGAAGUAGACUCAGAAGGCUUGCAGCAGUCGGGGGGGCGGGGGGCAGGGAGAGAAACAGAUGGCCUUGAGGGGGCUGCUAUGCAACCAGAAGGGAGGCAGCAUUUAGAAGACUCUUCAUCUGAGAGUGGAAUAGUCCAUCCACCCUCCCCCUGCUCCAGGAGGGCUGAAAGGGUUAAAAUGCAACAGAAGUGCAAGGGAGGGAGGAUGGGACAUUGGUGCGCUUCCUGCUGUGGAAGGGGCAGAAACUCAGAGUGAGCAACCCAUAACCAAGGGCAGAUGGCUCAGUGCUGCUCUCUCUGUGUUAAUUGUAAAUAAACGUACCACAAUCCUGCCAGAGGCUCAUUAAUUCUUAUCGGAGCUUGCUUGUGUCUGCCUGAGAUCCUGAUACAACCCUGGCCUCAAGCUCAAAAUCAGAGAAGGAUGAGCUGACCAUGUCAGGAAUGGUGUACUGCCUGCUGAUGAACUGGAAUGGGUUCUCGAGGUUAGUGGUCAGGGGCACCUGUGCAACGUGAGCCAGGUCCCUUGCAGAUGCCUUCCUCCUAGCCCUAGUCACCUGAGGAAUCAAGAACCUCCUAUACUUCACCAUGGCACAGGGGGAUCACCAGAAGGCAGGCCACAGAAAGGAGGUGAAGCACUCACCUUCAGGCCAGUGGGUUGGUCCUUUCAGGCCAAAGGAUGGAGGUUGGUUGGACUAAACUGGAAGGAGGGACUCUUAAGACUUCACUUCCAUCCUUUGUUGGAGCACAUUGUUCAUUUGGAGCUUUCCAUGGUGCUGAAUCAUGGGUUUCUCUGCUGUAGAUGGAUUACAAUUUCCCCGAUCGGGGACAAUUAUUCGGAACAUGUGUUUGAGGGCGGGAAGCUAAUCAAAGUCAGAGACAAAAAAAAAAAUAGCAUCUUGCAGCAAGAACCAAAGUAUAAAUCUCACAAAUGGACCAGUGUCUGGUGGCUAUGGCUUCCCUAUCACAAAAAUAAGAAAGAAGGAAGCCUCCAAGCUGCACAGAAAAAAGUGGUUUAUUAGUCCCAGUGUGUUUCAAAUAGAGACUCAGCAGGGGCACAAUGUUCUGUAUUCGUGUUGCAAAAUAAUUACUACAGGGUGUCUUUGUAUUCACAUAUAUGCACUUAGAGUCAGGAUGUCUCUCCACCCUCACCUCAUCUUCCCACUUAGACUUAAGACCUAAACAAUGGUGAAUGCAGUAUAAAGAUGUCUAAACAAUUAUUUUCAAAAAGCAUCCACAAAAUCUAUCCUCAAAGAAAAUCAGGAAUAAAUUAGAGACAGUUACACUGAGACUGACCUGGUAAAUAGAGUUGUAUUUAGUUGCAAUCAUUUGAACUAUAGAGCUUGGACAUCCUUCUCACCCCGGAACAGUAGAAAAACAUGCCCAUCACAUUUCUUUUCUUUCUGUGGCAUGCACGGAACUAUGAAGUAGUGAUUUCUCAACAACUUAAUUUCACAUUGAAAUAGUUCCUACUUUCCCCCUUAAUUUGAGCCAUGGUUUGGUUCACUGCUGUGUCUGAACCUGGACUCAGGGUUUGUUUCUCCCAAACAGACCACAAGAACAUACUUUGGUUACAGCUCAUGGUAUGUUUGGAGCAUAGGAGCCACCCUCUCCCUAUAUGAACAGGUCCCGUCAUGGUGCUGGGGCAUAGGUACCAACUCCUGGGGGCCAAGGUUCCUUCAGCCCCCGCAAUAAAAUAUUUGAGGGGGCUGGGCCACCACAAAGUUGAUGGGCAUUGCCACUCAAAUGGUGCAUGUGCUGUGUCUCUUGAUUGAUUAUGCGGGGCAGGGCUUACCUGCCCCCCAUAUUUUAUUCAAGUUGGCACCCGUGGUUUUGGAGACAGCCUGAGAUUGGAUGUGAUGCUAAGCUAACCUCUCAGCAGCACAAGCAGGAGCAGGAGCAGUGAAGCAGCUAAGAGUUUCACCCCAUGCACCGGCAUGCUACACAUUCACUUUUAAACUGUAGUUAAGUGGAAAGGAUCUAGAGGUCUUAGUAGAUUACAAGCUUAACAUGAGCCUGCAUCAACAGAAGCAUAGUACCCUGAACAAAGGAAGUAAUAGUAUGACUCUAUUCUGCCUUGGUCAGACCACACCUGGAAUACUGUGCCCAAUUCUGGGCACCACAAUUUAAGAAAGAUGUUGACAAGCUGGAACGUGUACAGAAGAGGGCAACCAAGAAGAUCAUAAGGGUCUGGAAACCAAGCCUUAUGAAGAAUGGUUGAAAGACUGGGCAUGCUUAGUUUGGAAAAGAAAAGAAUGAGAGGAGAUAUGAGAGCCAUCUUCAAAUAUCUGAACGGCUGCCACAUGGAAGAUGGAGCAAGCUUGUUUUCUCUUGCUCUGGAGGGUAGGACUCAAACCCAUGGCUUCAAGUUACAAGAAAGGAGAUUCUGACUAAACAUCAAAAAGAACUUACUGUCAGAAAGAGCUGUUCAGCAUUGGAACUGUUUUCUUCAGGACGUUGUGGGCUCUCCAUCCUGGGAGGUUUUCAAGCAGAGGUUGGGUGACCAUCUUUCAUAGAUGCUUAGCUGAGAUUCCUGCAUUGCAGGGGUGAAGUGAAGGACAUGAGGCAGGAGUUGGUAAUGUGGGUGAGCUGGGCACAAGCAAGCUGCCAGCUAGCUCUGUAGAGGCUCCUUUUAUUGCCACAAUAUACAAAUCCAGGCAGAUACAUUUUGGGCUGUGAUCUUUACACAUCUUCCAUUCCCAAGAUCGUGGGGUGGUACAAAGUUAUUUUGGCACCUGUUUCCACCACGUCAUUUUCCCCUUGCACAAUGUAUGACAAAGGAGACAAAGGUCACAGACAGAGCAUGGCAGAAUACUAAGACCACAAGAGGUUAGACAGAGGGGAAGAUGUUCAGACAGCUGUGGAUUUAUCUGUGAGGGGGAGUGUGCUCCGCACCCCAAGGUCAUGUGUGCAGACAGCUGAGGCUGCCCGUGGGCGGGAGUGUGCUCCAGAACCCAGCGAUCAUUCCUACGCAGGGGUUGGACUAAAUGAGCCUUGGUGUCCCUUCCAACUCUACAGUUCUGUUUUAUGAUCUAUGACCCUAAGUGUGACAUGUGAACCAGGACACUGACUUAAAAGGGGACUGUAAACGUGGUUAAAUGCCUCCCACUGACAUCCACUGAAUAUAGAAGUGCUUCAAAAACCUUGGCAGGAUUGUGUCCUGUCUUUGGAUUUUAAGAGAACAUUUCUGUAUUCUGUUUGAACUAUUUUUUACAUGCCUAGCAAGACACCACACUGCUUGCUGGUGCUUAGGCUAAUGACUGAAACCUAAAUAUGGAUGAUGCUUUAACUCUACUCUACUGCCUUGCAAGAAAUGAAUUUUCAGUAUAUAUUCCCAGCUCCACAGCAGAUGUUCAGUAAGCCUGGUCGAUGAACUGUAUUAUGCUUUAAAAUGCAGUGUAUUAGAUUAGCACUCAGUCCUAUAGAUGUGCAUAGCUGCAAUGAUACAAAAAAUGGUUUGUUCAAAUAUAGCUGCAGGGGUGUCAUAUGUGAUAUGAGUGGUGCAAAUCUGUCAGGCUUUGCUGCCUAUCCGCUGAAAUCCCAUUUUAACGGAUUUACUGCAAAUAUAUCGGGUGUUGGGCCAUCUUGGUUAUUUUAUUUAUUUAUGACAUUUGUACACUGGCUGAUGACAGAAAGUCUCUUGGCCAGCUUAAAAUAAGUACAUAUAAAAACACUCCAAGUACAAAAAGCCCCAUAGAAAGCAUAUAUAGCACAAGUAUUACAAUAAAACCAAACCGUUCUCAACCUCAAAAGUAAAAACUGAGAUGCCCAAGCUACACAAGUUAUUUAAAAUGUCUAGGUGAACAGAAAGCUUUUCACUUGACAUCAAAAACCUUCACAGAGAUGCUUCCAGGCUCUUCUUCCUGGAAAGGCUGCCCCAUAGCCGGGGUGUCACUGCCAGCAGAAGCAACGACUUGUGUGGUUGCCCCACUUGGAGCAGCACUUUCAGAAAAGAACUUCAUGUUCUGGUGGGUACAUAUGGGAGAAGGUGGCCUUUCAGGUAGGUGGUCUUUUAGUUAUGGCUAAAAGCAGCAUUUGAAAUAGGGCCUAUAAAUGGACUGGAAGCCAGUGCAGCCGGCAGGCAUAAAAUAGAAUAAAUAAAUUAGGCAAAGUGAAUCCAUCACCUCCAGCAACAGGUGCCACAGGGCAGUGAUGGAAGCCUUCUGGUUUUUCUUCCGAAGCUCUGAGGCAUCUCUCUCAGCUGGAAGACAAAGAUGUAUAUACAUAUAGACGGUCCUUCUCUUCCCCAAUGCUGAUGCCUCCCCUGAUGCUGCUUUCAAAAGUGAAAACAGAAGCAGUGCUACUGGGGAUGGGGGGGGGUAAUCUCGUGCAAGUGUCAUGAGGGCUGCACUGCAAGGCCUGUCCCCGAAAGGAAGUACCAGAGACCAAGAACGAGGGGAGUGUUGAGAUGCUAGAGGUGUCUCCUUCUCAUUUCAGGCUAAGUGUGAAGGACGGCUGGAUGUGCCUCUUCCAUCCAAGGAGCAGCCACACUACUGGUGCUCUCACCCAUCACUGGACCCCAAGGCAAGUCUUUACACCAGGGGCGGGGAAGAAGGGCUUGAGAGAAGGGUGGAGGAAGGGGUUGAUCAGGUUGCUUGAGCCUCCUCAAGCAGACCCAUCAAACUUCAAACUUUCCGCUCAGGGGGUUUAGAUACUGGAGGACACUUCUCGGUUCAUUUUCAGGCCAGUUGGCUUAUUCUUUACCCAAAUGCAUCCCAAUGUAGCCCUUAUUGAUGUGGUGUUUGCAUAACAAGUAAGCAAUGACCAACUCCUUGGGAGAUGCAUUGUUUGCCAUAUUAUGUAAACACACCUUCAGGAAGGACAACGUAAGUUGAUUUUUUAAACACUAAUUGCAAAUCUGUGUGUCACGAGGGCUCCAAAGCAUUGGUUUAUGCUGUGCCUGAUUCAUUGGUCAGGCCAUUUCUCAUACCAAUAAGUCUCUUCUAGGCAAAGGCCAUUCUAGGGGUGGGGAACAGGAUCUUGCUGAUGGGACAGAUCCUGAACUUCCCCACACCUUGUGAGCCAGUAUGACAGGCUAGGCAGAUGGUGCACCUCACUUGUCAAUCACCUGGCAUCAUCAUGACAGCAGUUGAGCCAGCUUCAAAGGAAAGAAUUGGAAGUGGGGCUGCCAAGAGGUAGUAUGGCAGGGCUGCCAUAUUCUGAAGAGCAAAAAAGAGGACACAUUUGCCGACAUCUACUUCUAACUACAGAUCACUAUGACGUCUCUCAUUCUAAAUACUAUAUGUAGGCUAUAGGAGCUGUGAUAUAUUGCUACUAGCAGUGUUAUUAACUUUCGACAACAAAAUAAUAAUAAUACAAACAAUUGAAUUGGCUUUAAUCGAAUAAGUAACUAAUUGUAAAAGUAAAUGUGCUCUAAUUACAAAAAAAUAGAACAUGUGUAGGCUAUAUACAUUGGUAGGCUAUAUGAAUAUCAGGGACUGGGCAGAGGAGGAAGAGGAAGACAGUAUAGAUUUACAGCAGUGGUUUACGGGAAGCCACAACUCAGAGGCAGAUGAGGGGAAAAGUUGGGAAAUCAUGGGAGAGGAGGAGCAGGCAGAGCCGGAGAAGCAACCGGCUGAUGCCUUGUCAUUAGAAAGCAUUCCAGACCCUCCAGCUCCCAGAACCCAGCGAGCCUUAAAGUAAAAGAGCAAAGAGCUCAAAGACAGAGGGUACUUAGCUACACCUGUAGAGGAGAGGAUGAUGAUGACGAAUGAGGAAGUGGGAGAGAAGGGGGUGGAGAUUCACUUGGGACAAGGCCCUUAUCCAAGAGGCUAUAGCCUCUCUGUGUGAAGACUGAAAUAAAAAAGGACUGUAAGAAACUUUGCCUUGUCUUUAUAUUUUCCUGGGCAACCAGCUGGGAGCCGCUAGCAGCAUCCUGACAAUGAAACUCCUGUAUCAGUACAAAUGUAAAUGACUACCUCAUGGUCAUGGCAGGAANNNNNNNNNNNNNNNNNNNNNNNNNNNNNNNNNNNNNNNNNNNNNNNNNNNNNNNNNNNNNNNNNNNNNNNNNNNNNNNNNNNNNNNNNNNNNNNNNNNNGCCUUUGAGGCUGGUGGAGCAAAGAGACUCAGUCAGCUGCCAUCACCUGUUUUGAGGGUUUCCGCAGGCAGAGAUUCCACUGGUUCUGCCUGCUAGCCCUUUGGCUUUCCUGCCAGCAGUAGAGCCCCCCCCCCCACUGGCAGAAGCCAGAAGGGCAAUGCCCCACUCAAACCACCUCUCAUAUGGCAGGUUGGAAGCUUGGAUUUCUCAGUUAGCUCCCAUGCGCUGUGUUCAAAAUAGAUGGGAAUUAAGUAUCCAUUCACUUUCAUACUUCUCUAGAAAAGGGGUGAAGGUGAGUCUUCACUAGGAAUAUGGAACCUGUGACUCUCUCCUGAUGUUGUUGAACAACAACUACCACCAUUCCUGACCCUUGGUCAUGCUGAUAUCUGGAACUACUCAUUCCUGAACUGCAUACACUGUGCCCAUGUACACCUUUAAAGCACAUUCAAAGCACAUUCAAACUUUCAAAUAAUUCUGGGCACUGUAGUUUGUUAAGGAAUGUUGGGAAUUGCACUGCUGAGAGGCAUAAACUACAAUGUCCAGAAUUCUCCGAGAGAAAGAAUGUGCUUGUAAGGUAUAGUGAAUACAUAGCCUGUGGCUUUUAAAAUCACUGUUACAUUUGAACAAGGCAUCAGUCCUAACCAGACUUUUUAAUGCAAAAAAUGAGAGGUGCCAAAUAUACUUGUUGUUGUUGAGUCGUUUAGUCGUGUCCGACUCUUCGUGACCCCAUGAACCAGAGCACGCCAGGCACUCCUGUCUUCCACUGCCUCCCGCAGUUUAGUCAAACUCAUACUGGUAGCUUCGAGAACACUGUCCAACCAUUUCGUCCUCUGUUGUCCCCUUCUCCUUGUGCCCUCCAUCUUUCCCAACAUCAGGGUCUUUUCCAGGGAGUCUUCUCUUCUCAUGAGGUGGCCAAAGUAUUGGAGCCUCAGCUUCAGGAUCUGUCCUUCCAGUGAGCACUCAGGGCUGAUUUCCUUCAGAAUGGACAGGUUUGAUCUUCUUGCAGUCCAUGGGACUCUCAAGAGUCUAAAUAUACUUAGCCAGCGGCAAAUCAAGAUUGCAUAUGCUACCAGGAAGACAACGAUAAGAGUAAUUUGUAAGCCUCAUUCAAACAAAUAAGCUGCAAUGUGGUGGGCAAACAGAAAUCAAAAUCAUGCUGAGGCUGUUUUGUGUGGCCAAGCAAUGCAAAUGAUUCUACCACAGCACAAGCUUCCAAAGAAAAGAGUCUGCUGUGCCACAAUGUCCAAGCCCAGUGGCCACACUCAAGCAGCUUGCCACAUAUGGACCUCAAGCAGUUUUGGAUGUCAAGAGGCUGCCUCUUUAUGCAACUCGAACCUUGAGAUAUAUUUGCAUGAAUGUAGAACUACCAAACCACAAAACUACAGUAAAAUGCACAAAGCAAAGGCAUAUUUUUAUCAAAUUAAAACCAGCAAGCACACAAAAGAAAAAACAGGCAUCCACAAUGAUGCCCUUAGGGUAGGAUGUUGGGGCUGAAGUCCUGGUCCCCAAUCAGCAGAAGAUGCAGCAGGCCUGCCUCACCACACUGUCAAGUAACACACAUUGCCAUCCUAAAAGGCCACUGACUUCAGAGUCUACAAUUACAUAACUACGUCAUUUGGGCAUACAAAGAUGUGCCAAAAUAUGGGUACUCAAAUUACUGUGUAAUGUAGAGAAUAAAACUACACUGAGUCACAAUAUAUUUUGCUAGCUACCCAAUAUAAAUCAGCCCACCACAGUGUGGAAAGGCAUGUGCCCGAAAGCACUGAAACAAAAGGCCACACACACACACACACACAUGGAGAAACAUCUGCUAGAAAGAUGCGAGAGAGAAAAAAGAGGAGAGGGUUAAAUGCAGAGACUCAAUAGAUAGACAUUAGCAGAGAGGUAUCUUAGGGGGUGCAUUUGAGAGAGGAUAAGGGAAAAAAGCUGGUCCCAAAGUGAAUCAAGUUGGCAGGCAGGAGACACCAGAUCCAAUGGCAGCAGAGGGCAGGAUGUAGGUAGGUAAGGGAGCAUCUCAACCCAAUGUGUGCUGCGGCGCUGUUGAAUGACGGGAGGUGAGCCCAAUAGAGGCAUACCUUAGGUGGGAGCUAGGGUACCAAACAAAAAAAAGUGGACAUUUUGGCAAAUUUAAAAAAUCUGCCUGGACAGACACUUUACCCCUGAAAAAGAAGAUGUGUCCAGGAAAAACUAGACAUAUGGAAACCCUAUAGUAUGAGGGAUGCUGACGUCAUUUCGUGGGGAAGGCAUGAGGGAAGACUUUGAGCUUUCGUUUAAAAAAUAAAAGAAGUUGGUGUCCUAUAAAUAAAGUGACAAAGCGAAAGUUACAGACAAACCUUAAUUUUCUGAAUGAUUUCUGUGAGAUAGUUACUGUAGCUGCUCCCACAUUUCAGCAUUUUUAGACAGUGAGUGAAGCCAAGGCUGUGAUUGAUCAGCAGAUUGUUCGGAAGCCAGGAGAGAGGAAUCCUUCUCUGCACUUUCUUUCCAGCUUCUGUCUCCUUUUCCAUUCCAUGGAAACCCUGUGCUUACAUUCUGUGAGUUACUUUCUGCAAAUUUUACUAUACAGUAAGUACUAUACAGUAACUAUACAGUAAGUGUGGGUAGGGGUUAAAUAAUUCUCCUUCUUUUGAGUGUGUAAGGGAGAGCUCAAUCCACAUACAAUAUUCCACUCCCCCCACCCCUUGGCAGCCCAGGAAGUAAUGAAGGGGUGGAAAGAACCAGGUUUUCUUGGAAAGAACUUGAGGAGUGUUAAUAGCAUGUCACUUUUACAGCUUAGAUCUAGGGGAAAACUACAUGGAUGUUGGCAUGCAAUUCUGUUCGCUGAUAGCUUAUUGAUUCACUCUUCAUAGAAAACAAAUAGGAGAUGAAUGAACAGGCCCAUUUCCAUCUUGUCUGCUAGACAGGAAACAGGCUAUGUUGAUCUACUUGACUUACACUAGUUGGAGCUGCUUUAAUCCUGGGGAGAAAAGACAUGUUGCAAGGUUUGGACAAAAAUAAUGCAUAGCAAAACUUUAUCACUCAGGAACUUGCUUCUGAUUUUUAUUAGCAUGACUUACCACAACUCACCCUGGGUGGGAAAUCUGCUUACCCUUUGCAAGUCUGUAUAACUCCCAUGACAUUCAGUGGCCUCAGUUGCCCAUUUGCUGUUGGGUGGUUGGACUGACACGUGGGGUGGACAACUCUCACAGCAAUCCUGAUUUCUUCCCCUUCCUCCUAUUUUCCUCCAGUUAAGGGGCACAGUCAUUCUCACCAACCAGAAAAAAAAUCAAGACUCUUGGGCAGGGCUAGACAAAGAGGGUCAGGUUCUCAACAUUUCAGAGAGAAAUAAUAGAAAAUGAUAGGAAACUAUUAUCGAAAAUGUAUAAUCUGUUGCUAGAAUGGAAAAUGAAAGAUGAAGAGGUUAAAUCAGUUAUGAUUACAUGGGCACAAGAUGUGGGCACAAGAUGGAGGAUUGGGAAAAACUAUGGAGGACUGGGAUAAAAUUUACUGCAAGUGUGGCGAUUAAAGAAAACUAUGAAAAUGAUGUAUAGAUGGUAUCUAACUCCAGUAAAAUUAGAAAAAAUGUACAAAAAUAAAGAAAGUGUUGGAAAUGUAAAUUAGCAGGAGACAUUUUUUUCAUAUAUGGUGGGAUUGCAAAAUUGUUAAGAAAUAUUAGGAAAUGAUUUAUAAUGAAAUGAAGAUGAUGUUUAAAAUAACUUUUGUUAAGAAACCAGAAGCUUUUCUAUUAGGUAUAACAGGAGUGGACAUACCAGGACCACAAAAAGACUUAUUUAAGUAUACAACUACAGCUACACGAAUACUGCUAGCACAGCACUGGAAAGAAGAAGGUGUCCCAAAGAAGACUGGCAAGUUAAAUUAAUGUAAUAUGCUAAAAUGACAAAAUUGACAUUGAAACUAAGAGGAAGAGACGACGAGUUUAAAGAAGACUGGAAGGACUUUAUUGUAUAUAUGCAGAAGCAAUGUACACAGGUUAAUACAUUAGCAGGAUUCUAGAAAUAUUUGUAAGGAAAUAUGAAUGGACAAUAAGUAAUUUUAAUGAUUUUUUAAAUUAAAAUGGACAUGCGGUAUGAUGAUAAACAAUGGAACCAGGGAAGGGACUGGGGGGAAGUCAACUUUUCUUUUUCCUUUUUCAAUUUAUUGCUUUUUUCUUUUUGCUUUUUUCUAUGUCCGAUUAUGAAUAUGUAUUAUUGGUGCUAUUGUUGAUGUUAUUUUUUCUUUUCUUUUUUCUUUUUCUGUUUUAUAUUUGGAAAAUAAAAAAU